UACAAUAACUUAAGCGUAUCGCCAAGC
rnacentral:sRNA from 1 species